rnacentral:misc_RNA from 1 species
UUUGCUUUAAUUUGUUUCGGUUGUUUAGACACAUGAGCCUUUGUGUUUAACGUAAUGAUAUGCAUACGCAUGGUGUGGAGAGACAGCCCAAAAAGGACUAGAACUCGGUAAUGAUCCUUCCGCAGGUUCACCUACGGAAA